UACGGAAGGCAGCAGUGGGGAAUAUUGCACAAUGGGCGAAAGCCUGAUGCAGCUAUGCCGCGUGUAUGAAGAAGGCCUUAGGGUUGUAAAGUACUUUCAUCGGGGAGGAAAAAACAAAACUAAUAAUUUUAUUUCUUGACGUUACCCGAAAAAGAAGCACCGGCUAACUCCGUGCCAGCAGCCGCGGUAAUACGGAGGGUGCUAGCGUUAAUCAGAAUUACUGGGCGUAAAGAGCACGUAGGUGGUUUUUUAAAGUCAGAUGUGAAAUCCCUGGGCUUAACCUGGAAACUGCAUUUUGAAACUGAAAAUCUAAGAGUAUCGUAGAGGGAGGUAGAAUUCUAGGUGUAGCGGUGAAAUGCGUAGAUAUCUGGAGGAAUACCUGUGGCGAAAGCGGCCUCCUAAACGAAUACUGACACUGAGGUGCGAAAGCGUGGGGAGCAAACAGGAUUAGAUACC
rnacentral:rRNA from 1 species